UACGUAGGGUGCGAGCGUUAAUCGGAAUUACUGGGCGUAAAGCGUGCGCAGGCAGCGCGUUAAGACAGGUGUGAAAGCCCCGAGCUUAACUUGGGAAUUGCGCUUGUGACUGGCGUGCUGGAGUGUGGCAGAGGGAGGUGGAAUUCCACGUGUAGCAGUGAAAUGCGUAGAGAUGCGGAGGAACACCGAUGGCGAAGGCAGCCCCCUGGGCUAACACUGACGCUCAGGCACGAAAGCGUGGGGAGCAAACAGG
rnacentral:rRNA from 1 species